rnacentral:rRNA from 1 species
UACGUAGGGGGCAAGCGUUGGUCCGGAAUCAUUGGGCGUAAAGAGCGUGUAGGCGGCCCGAUAAGUCCGCUGUGAAAGUCAAGGGCUCAACCCUUGAAUGCCGGCGGAUACUGUCGGGCUAGAGUCCGGAAGAGGCGAGUGGAAUUCCUGGUGUAGCGGUGAAAUGCGCAGAUAUCAGGAGGAACACCUACGGCGAAGGCAGCUCGCUGGGACGGUACUGACGCUGAGACGCGAAAGCGUGGGGAGCAAACAGG